UACGUAGGGGGCGAGCGUUAUCCGGAUUUACUGGGUGUAAAGGGAGCGUAGACGGCGCAGCAAGUCUGAUGUGAAAGGCAGGGGCUUAACCCCUGGACUGCAUUGGAAACUGCUGUGCUUGAGUGCCGGAGGGGUAAGCGGAAUUCCUAGUGUAGCGGUGAAAUGCGUAGAUAUUAGGAGGAACACCAGUGGCGAAGGCGGCUUACUAGACGGUAACUGACGUUGAGGCUCGAAAGCGUGGGGAGCAAACAGG
rnacentral:rRNA from 1 species